UUACAAAUCAUUAUGCUGGCCUUCGGGUCUAGCACAUGUGCCCGGACUAGACAUCUCGUCUAGUCUGUGACAUAUAUACGCUUGUUGUGUUUGACAGAGUUUUAAUAUUACCAUAUUAUAAAAUAGACAACUUUUAACAAUGGAUCUCUUGGCUCUUGCAACGAUGAAGAACGCAGUAAAGUGCGAUAUGUAAUGCGAUUUGCAUGAAUCUGUGAGUCAUCUAAUCUUUGAACGCAACUUGCACCCAUUCGUGGGUAUGUCUGUUUGAGUACCGCAAAUCAUUAUAUUCAGCAAUGAAUGAACUGAGACCUAUCCCAUGGGAUUGUCUUUAAAAGAAGCAAGCGGGCAAUCAUUGCUAGCUGUCAUGUGCUAGAGACUUUUAGUCUUGUCAUGGCAACACUGGUGGUGAACCCAGUUGUCUUUUGACAACAAUUUUGUAAAUUGGUCUCAAAUCAGU
rnacentral:rRNA from 1 species